UACGUAGGGCGCAAGCGUUACUCGGAAUUACUGGGCGUAAAGCGUGCGUAGGUGGUGAGUUAAGUCUGUCGUGAAAGCCCCGGGCUCAACCUGGGAAUGGCGAUGGAUACUGGCUCGCUAGAGUGCGGUAGAGGAGAGUGGAAUUCCCGGUGUAGCAGUGAAAUGCGUAGAGAUGUGGAGGAACACCGAUGGCGAAGGCAGCCCCCUGGGUCAAGAUUGACGCUCAUGCACGAAAGCGUGGGGAGCAAACAGG
rnacentral:rRNA from 1 species